GGUCACAAAACCAUGUUGCAGGACAUUUGCUUUUAUGUUGUUUGACUUCUGGAAAGCUGCUAACAUCUUUAAUGCCAAGCAUGAAUCUCCAGAGGGACAGAGAGAAUCAUAACUUUUCUUAAAUAACAAGAUGGUGAAAUCAAUCAAAUAAUAGUUAACUGAAUCAGCUAUUGUAAACAGCAAAGAUUUGGAUUUUUCUACCCUGAUCCCAAAAGCUUUAAACAUGAGGAUUUCACUGGUUCCUUUUGAGAGUCACAGCUUUCAGAGUGAACCUUGAAGCCUGGUCGCUGUGUUUUACUAUAAACCAAAAUACAGCAAGGAGCAUGGUUUGACAUAAGAUCUAAGGAGAAUGUGCAGGCAUUCAGGUUUGAGCUGCUAACUCCUUUGGUCCUGAUGGUGGUUGAAGUAUUACAUGUAUCAGAUGCUGUUCUUCAGCCAGCCCCCGGAGCAGUUCAGGUUUAAAACGUGUAGCAAGUGGCUUAAAUGCUCUUGCUACAAUGAUGUCAUCUACCGAUUGUAAAUCCACAGC